GUGUCAGCAGCCGCGGUAAUACCAGCACCCCGAGUGGUCGGGACGAUUAUUGGGCCUAAAGCAUCCGUAGCCGGUCUUGCAAGUCUUCCGUUAAAUCCACCUGCUUAACAGAUGGGCUGCGGAAGAUACUACAAGACUAGGAGGCGGGAGAGGCAAGCGGUACUCAGUGGGUAGGGGUAAAAUCCUCUGAUCCAUUGAAGACCACCAGUGGCGAAGGCGGCUUGCCAGAACGCGCUCGACGGUGAGGGAUGAAAGCUGGGGGAGCAAACCGGAUUAGAUACCCCCGUAGUCC
rnacentral:rRNA from 1 species